AGUGAACGCUGGCGGUAGGCCUAACACAUGCAAGUCGAACGGCAGCACAGUAAGAGCUCGCUCUUACGGGUGGCGAGUGGUGGACGGGUGUGGAAUACAUCGGAAUCUACUUUUUCGUGGGGGAUAACGUAGGGAAACUUACGCUAAUACCGCAUACGACCUACGGGUGAAAGCAGGGGAUCUUCGGACCUUGCGCGAUUGAAUGAGCCGAUGUCGGAUUAGCUUGUUGGCGGGGUAAAGGCCCACCAAGGCGAGGAAACGUAGCUGGUCUGAUAGGAUGAUCAGGCACACAGCAACUGAGACACGGCACAGACUACUAAGGAAGGCAGCAAUGGGGAAUAUUGGACAACGGGCGCAAGCCUCAUCCACGAAUACCAAGUGGAUGAAGAACGCCAUCGGGUUGUAGAGCCCUUAUAUAGGGAAAGAAAAGCAGAAGAUUAAUGCCACGAUGUUCUGACGAUACCCAAAGAAUAAGCUACGGCUAACUUCGUG
rnacentral:rRNA from 1 species